UCCUUAUCCAGAGAGGUGGAGGGACUGGCCCAAUGAAACCCGGCAACCAACAUGUAUUUUGUACAUGGUAAGGUGCCAAUUCCUGCAGAACAAAUUUGUUCUGAAAGAUGAGGG
rnacentral:ncRNA from 1 species